ensembl:snRNA U6 U6 spliceosomal RNA
GUGAUUGCUUUAGCACUGCAUAUACUAAAAUUGGAAUGAUACAGAAAAGAUUAGCAUGGCCCCAAUAUAAGGAGGACACACAAAUUUGUGAAGCAUACCAUAUUUAA